AUUGAACGCUGGCGGCAGGCUUAACACAUGCAAGUCGAGCGGGGGAAGGUAGCUUGCUACCGGACCUAGCGGCGGACGGGUGAGUAAUGCUUAGGAAUCUGCCUAUUAGUGGGGGACAACAUCUCGAAAGGGAUGCUAAUACCGUAUACGUCCUACGGGAGAAAGCAGGGGAUCUUCGGACCUUGCGCUAAUAGAUGAGCCUGAGUCGGAUUAGCUAGUUGGUGGGGUAAAGGCCUACCAAGGCGACGAUCUGUAGCGGGUCUGAGAGGAUGAUCCGCCACACUGGGACUGAGACACGGCCCAGACUCCUACGGGAGGCAGCAGUGGGGAAUAUUGGACAAUGGGGGGAACCCUGAUCCAGCCAUGCCGCGUGUGUGAAGAAGGCCUUAUGGUUGUAAAGCACUUUAAGCGAGGAGGAGGCUACUUUAGUUAAUACCUAGAGAUAGUGGACGUUACUCGCAGAAUAAGACCGGCUAACUCUGUGCCAGCCGCCGCCGUAA
rnacentral:rRNA from 1 species